UAAGUGCUUCCAUGUUUCAGUGG
rnacentral:miRNA from 18 species